UGGACUUGGUAACGUGUAAGGGUCACCCAG
rnacentral:piRNA from 1 species